rnacentral:lncRNA from 1 species
GGUCGCAGUAGUGGCUAGGCCGACUGGAUCCUUAUUCUACUAGAAAUGCCGUCAAGGGAGAGUGACGUGGCUCGGGUCGCAGUAGUGGCUAGGCCGACUGGAUCCUUAUUCUACUAGAAAUACCGUCAAUGGAGAGUGACGUGGCUCGGGUCGCAGUAGUGGCUAGGCCGACUGGACCUUUGUUCUUCUGGAAAUGCCGUCAAGGGAGAGUGACGUGGCUCGGGUCGCAGUAGUGGCUAGGCCGACUGGACCUUUGUUCUUCUGGAAAUGCCGUCAAGGGAGAGUGACGUGGCUCGGGUCGCAGUAGUGGCUAGGCCGACUGGACCGUUAUUCUUCUAGAAAUGCCGUCAAGAGAAUGACGAGGCUUGGUCGCAGUAGUGGCGAGACCGACUGGACCUUUAUUCUUCUAGAAAUGCCGUAAUGUUAGUAGAUAGCCA